GGCACUGUGGCGGAGUGGUUAUCGCGUCAGCCUAGAAUUAUAUCAAAGCUGAUCCCUUCGGGGGCCUGAGUUCGAAUCUCAGCGGUGUCG